GACGAACGCUUGCGGCGUGCUUAACACAUGCAAGUCGAACGGAAAGGCCCUGCUUUUGUGGGGUGCUCGAGUGGCGAACGGGUGAGUAACACGUGAGUAACCUGCCCUUGACUUUGGGAUAACUUCAGGAAACUGGGGCUAAUACCGGAUAGGAGCUCCUGCUGCAUGGUGGGGGUUGGAAAGUUUCGGCGGUUGGGGAUGGACUCGCGGCUUAUCAGCUUGUUGGUGGGGUAGUGGCUUACCAAGGCUUUGACGGGUAGCCGGCCUGAGAGGGUGACCGGCCACAUUGGGACUGAGAUACGGCCCAGACUCCUACGGGAGGCAGCAGUGGGGAAUAUUGCACAAUGGGCGGAAGCCUGAUGCAGCAACGCCGCGUGCGGGAUGACGGCCUUCGGGUUGUAAACCGCUUUCGCCUGUGACGAAGCGUGAGUGACGGUAAUGGGUAAAGAAGCACCGGCUAACUACGUGCCAGCAGCCGCGGUGAUACGUAGGGUGCGAGCGUUGUCCGGAUUUAUUGGGCGUAAAGGGCUCGUAGGUGGUUGAUCGCGUCGGAAGUGUAAUCUUGGGGCUUAACCCUGAGCGUGCUUUCGAUACGGGUUGACUUGAGGAAGGUAGGGGAGAAUGGAAUUCCUGGUGGAGCGGUGGAAUGCGCAGAUAUCAGGAGGAACACCAGUGGCGAAGGCGGUUCUCUGGGCCUUUCCUGACGCUGAGGAGCGAAAGCGUGGGGAGCGAACAGGCUUAGAUACCCUGGUAGUCCACGCUGUAAACGGUGGGUACUAGGUGUGGGGUCCAUUCCACGGGUUCCGUGCCGUAGCUAAUGCUUUAAGUACCCCGCCUGGGGAGUACGGCCGCAAGGCUAAAACUCAAAGGAAUUGACGGGGCCCCGCACAAGCGGCGGAGCAUGCGGAUUAAUUCGAUGCAACGCGUAGAACCUUACCUGGGUUUGACAUGGAUCGGGAGUGCUCAGAGAUGGGUGUGCCUCUUUUGGGGUCGGUUCACAGGUGGUGCAUGGCUGUCGUCAGCUCGUGUCGUGAGAUGUUGGGUUAAGUCCCGCAACGAGCGCAACCCUUGUUCACUGUUGCCAGCACGUUAUGGUGGGGACUCAGUGGAGACCGCCGGGGUCAACUCGGAGGAAGGUGGGGAUGACGUCAAGUCAUCAUGCCCCUUAUGUCCAGGGCUUCACGCAUGCUACAAUGGCUGGUACAGAGAGUGGCGAGCCUGUGAGGGUGAGCGAAUCUCGGAAAGCCGGUCUCAGUUCGGAUUGGGGUCUGCAACUCGACCUCAUGAAGUCGGAGUCGCUAGUAAUCGCAGAUCAGCAACGCUGCGGUGAAUACGUUCCCGGG
rnacentral:rRNA from 1 species